rnacentral:rRNA from 1 species
UACGAAGGGUGCAAGCGUUAUUCGGAGUUACUGGGCGUAAAGAGUAUGUAGGCGGUUUGUUAAGUUAGUUGUUAAAGACCACGGCUCAACCGUGGAAAGGCAGCUGAUACUGAUGAGCUAGAGCGCAGAAGAGAGGAGUGGAAUUCCCGGAGUAGCGGUAAAAUGCGUAGAUCUCGGGAGGAACACCGGUUGCGAAGGCGGCUUCUUGGUCUGUGGCUGACGCUAAAGUACGAAAGCGUGGGGAGCAAACAGGAUUAGAUACCCUGGUAGUCCACGCUGUAAACGAUGAUCACUAGAUGUGGGUCGGGCAUAGCCUGAUCCGUGUCGAAGCUAACGCGUUAAGUGAUCCGCCUGGGAAGUACGGUCGCAAGAUUAAA